rnacentral:rRNA from 1 species
CUCAGAACGAACGCUGGCGGCGCGUCUUAAGCAUGCAAGUCGAGCGUGAUUGAAUAGCUUGCUAUUCAUGAAAGCGGCGGACUGGUGAGUAACACGUAGAUGACGUACCCUUUAGCCGGGGAUAGCCUGUAGAAAUACAGGAUAAUACCGGAUGUGGUCCCGUAGUUUAGAAGUACGGGAAGAAAGGAACUGUAGUUUCACUAGAGGAGCGGUCUGCGGCCCAUCAGCUAGUUGGCGGGGUAAAGGCCCACCAAGGCGAUGACGGGUAUCCGGCCUUAGAGGGUGAUCGGACACAUUGGGACUGAGAUACGGCCCAGACUCCUACGGGAGGCAGCAGCUAAGAAUAUUCCGCAAUGGACGAAAGUCUGACGGAGCGACGCCGCGUGGAUGAAUGAAGGCCGGAAGGUUGUAAAAUCCUUUUAUACCAGAGGAAUAAGCGGGGUGAGAGAAACGCCCUGUGGUGACUGUAGGGUAUGAAUAAGCACCGGCUAAUUACGUGCCAGCAGCUGC